rnacentral:rRNA from 1 species
GACGAACGCUGGCGGCGUGCCUAAUACAUGCAAGUCGAACGCAGUGGGGACGGGUGAGUAACACGUGGGUAACCUCCCAUCAGAGGGGAUAACACUUGGAAACAGGUGCUAAACCGAUACUGAUGGAUGGACCCGCGGUGCAUUAGCUAGUUGGUGAGGUAAAGGCUCCCCAAGGCCACGAUGCAUAGCCUACCGGAGAGGGGGUUCGGCCACACAGGGAAUGAGACACGGCCCAGACUCCUACGGGAGGCAGCAGUAGGGAAGCGUCGGAAAGGGACGAAAGUCUGACCGAGCAACGCCGAGUGAGUGAAGAAGGUUUUCGGAUCGUAAAACUCUGUUGUUAGAGAAGAGGUAUCUAACCAGAAAGCCACGGAUAACGACGUGACAGCAGCCGCGGUAAUUC